rnacentral:rRNA from 1 species
ACGGAGGGUGCAAGCGUUAUCCGGAUUCACUGGGUUUAAAGGGUGCGUAGGAGGGCAGGUAAGUCAGUGGUGAAAUCUUCGAGCUUAACUCGGAAACUGCCGUUGAUACUAUCUGUCUUGAAUACCGUGGAGAUGAGCGGAAUAUGUCGUGUAGCGGUGAAAUGCUUAGAUAUGACAUAGAACACCAAUUGCGAAGGCAGCUCACUACACAGCGAUUGACGCUGAGGCACGAAAGCGUGGGGAUCAAACAGGA